rnacentral:lncRNA from 1 species
UCAGGGCUAGUGGGAGGAGUCAUAAGCACUCUGACCAAAGCACCCCUAUCGCUAAUGGGCAAUGGCUCUAGAUGUGUAGGAUGCAGAAAGGGAAUCCCUGUGCCAGAGACUGCAAUGCAAAAGAGAGGACUCUACCUUCCCUUCAGGAUGUUUCCGUGGGCCCUUCUCAUUGUUGGGCCAUUGGCCAUAGCCCAACAGGAAGCCAAGCUCGAGAUCUGAGUCCAAGGUUCAGCCCCUGGGAUGCUGUUCAUCAUCAGGGCCAGAGCAUGUGGAGGUGAUGCGAGGUCAUGGAAGCAGCCAGAUCAACUGCACCCAAUCCUCUUCACCAAUCUGAGGCUUCCUCUCCAGCUCAUCGCGUCAUCUGCAGGGUCCUAUCCAGAUGAGCAGGGGCCCAAGCACUGGACCAGAGAAAGGCAUCAGUUUUUGA